CGAAAGCCUGACGGAGCAAUACCGCGUGAGGGAGGAAGGCUCUUGGGUUGUAAACCUCAAAACUUAGGGAAGAAGAAAGUGACGGUACCUAAUAUAAGCAUCGGCUAACUCCGUGCCAGCAGCCGCGGUAAUACGGAGGAUGCAAGCGUUAUCCGGAAUCAUUGGGCGUAAAGCGUCCGUAGGUGGCAUUUCAAGUCUGCUGUCAAAGACCGAAGCUCAACUUCGGGUAGGCGGUGGAAACUGAAAAGCUAGAGUAUAGUAGGGGUAGAGGGAAUUCCUAGUGUAGCGGUGAAAUGCGUAGAGAUUAGGAAGAAC
rnacentral:rRNA from 1 species